UUGUAAUUUGUAGAAGGUGCCCCGGGCGAGACCGCGGCCCAAGUCCUCUGGAACUGGGCGUCAUAGAGGGUGAGAACCCCGUACGCGGCCGCGCGGACGAGCCCGUGUGGGGCCCUUUCGACGAGUCGAGUUGUUUGGGAAUGCAGCUCAAAUUUGGUGGUAAAUUCCAUCUAAAGCUAAAUACCUGCCGGAGACCGAUAGCGCACAAGUAGAGUGAUCGAAAGAUGAAAAGCACUUUGAAAAGAGAGUUAAAAAGUACGUGAAAUUGUUGAAAGGGAAGCGCUUGCAACCAGACUCGCUCGCGGGUGCUCAGCCGUCCUCCGGGGCGGUGCACUCUCCCGCGAUCGGGCCAGCGUCGGUUCUGGCGGCCGGACAAAGGCCCAGGGAACGUAGCUCUCUUCGGGGAGUGUUAUAUCCCGGGGUGCAAUGCGGCCCGCCGGGACCGAGGACCGCGCUUUAGCUAGGACGCUGGCGUAAUGGUUGCCAGCGACCCGUCUUGAAACACGGACCAAGGAGUCGACCAACCGCGCGAGUGUUUGGGCGUCAAACCCACGCGCGCAAUGAAAGUGAACGGAGGUGGGAGCCUCAGGGCGCACCAUCGACCGAUCCUGAUGUCUUCGGAUGGAUUUGAGUACGAGCACGGUUGGUCGGACCCGAAAGAUGGUGAACUAUGCGCGAAUAGGGUGAAGCCAGAGGAAACUCUGGUGGAGGCUCGCAGCGGUUCUGACGUGCAAAUCGAUCGUCAAAUUUGCGUAUAGGGGCGAAAGACUUAUCGAACCAUCUAGUAGCUGGUUCCCGUCGAAGUUUCCCUCAGGAUAGCAGUAACGAAGAACAGUCUCAUGAGGUAGAGCGAACGAUUAGAGGUCUUGGGGCCGCAAUCGGCCUUAACCUAUUCUCGAACUUCGAAUAUGUGAGAAGUCCUUGUUGCUUAGUUGAA
rnacentral:rRNA from 1 species